UCACUCUUAUAUAUACUCAAUUUUGCAUCAGUACACACGUCAUCGUCAUUGUCGUAUAUUGGUCGGUAUUAUCAAACGCUUUCGUCCAUCACAUCAACUGUUUCCAAAGGCCAAACAGGAGAUAAAUUGGGUUCUCAUGAGUGCUCUUUUAGGUUCAUGGUACAGAAGAAGGGACAAACUACCACCAGGGUCAUAAAACUGUCCUUGGAAAUGCCCAAAAUGCCUAUGAAAGCCUUGCCAAGUAUGUGUGCUUGGGUGCCAAAAUGUUGAGUUGUACAGCCCAUUAUUUCUCUGCUAUAGGAUGAAGGUCUUUCACAACUCUUUUUGGCAGCUCCUCUAUACUUUAUUUUAUUGGAGCAGAGAUUAGUGUUUUUUUCCCCUGGAGUUGCUUCCUUUAAUGAAAACAAAGUCCAUUUGUCUCUGUGUCUGAUGUUAAUACACUUCAUCCUGCCCCACAAAGCUUCUAAUUUCACGUCCUGCCUCUCUGUCUGCCCUGACUUACACGCUGGCUGGGUGCUUUGGUUCCUCAGCUGUUGUGAGGUGCAUGAGAUGAAGUGCACAAGUCCAAGCCUCGCCUUUCAUAGGCACCAGGACACCUUUAACCUUUGUCUGUUCCCUGGUCCAGGACACUCAAGGCCUGUCUCCCCAUGUUGUGCCUGGCAUUCUUCUCCAUUCAGCUUGGCACAUUUCUUAACUUCUCUCUGGAUCUUGUGUGAGGUGCAGAGUUUAUGAAGCACAUUUUGGGGCUGGGAAUAUGCACAGACUGCACCCUUCUCCUCAGGGAGAGGGGCAGGUUUAUAGUCAUAAUAAUACAAUGUUUACCAAAAUUGUUCCAUUCCAUUUCUCUCCUGAUUUCUUAUUCAUUUUGUAGGCCUGGUUUGCAGUAAUUAGGUAAAGUUUGGGGCACAUGUUACAAGUGUGCCUGGCUGUGGUGCUCAUCUCCAUCCCUCUGGCCCCUGAGCCAGCAGCGGGUAAGGACCCUUCAGCCCCAGGACAUGGCCACUACAGUAUCUGGGUCACCACAGCUGCCUUGCCCAGGCUCCCUUUUAUAGGCCAACCCAAAAGGCAGGAUGAACAGCUGGGUGGGUCGUCAUUAUAACCCAGACCGGUGUGUUCAUAGCUAGCCGUCAACCUCUCCACCAAGGGAGCACACUGGUUGCUGUGUGUGUCUACUCUUUCAAAGCAAACACUGCCUGGGUCACUGUAACAGCAGCCUGCCCCUGUCCCUGCAGAGGAAGGUGUUCCGUCAGUGUAACAGGAGAAAGCUGAAAGUAAAUGUCAACAAAAGUAAAGUGAUGGUUUGUGAGUGAAGUAGAAGUGAGGUUGUAGAUUUUGUAUGCCCAUAUAGAGUGGGAAUUGAAUGUGAAAAAGAAUGCAAAAUAAUUUUGAAUGGUGAAGAAAUGGAGGAGGUCAAUGAGUUUAAGUACCUUGGAUCAGUUAUGUGUAAGCAUGGUGGUAUGGAGGGAGAGACAAGAGAAAGGGCAUUGCAAGGAAGAAGGGUGGUAGGGUCUUUGGGAUGAAUCAUGAAUGGCAGAAGUGUGAGCAUGGAGGUAAAGAGGGAUUUGAGAAAUACAAUAAUAGUACCAACCCUCACAUAUGCAAGUGAAACGUGGGCCUGGAAUGAAAGUCAGAGGUCUAGAGUGCAGGCAGUGGAAAUGAGUUAUUUGAGGAGUGCUUGUGGUGUGAGUAGAAUGGAUGGAAUGAGUAAUGAAAGUGUGUACGAGAGUUUUGGAAUGUGUCACAGGGGUGAAGGGAAGAAGUGUGGAGUGGUGGAAGAAGUGAAGCAACAGACUUUAAAGUGGUUUGGCCACAUGGAGCGAAAGGAGGAGAGUAAGAUGACCAGAAGGGUGUAUGUGAGUGAGAUAGAGGGAGGGAAUGCUAGAGGACGACCUCCAGUGAAAUGGAGGGAUAGGGUGCAAGAGUACAUUAGGGAGAGGGGGGAAAGAUCUUUGAGAAACUUUGAGCAGGCAAGGAGGGAGUGUCUGGAUAGAGAAAGCUGGAAGCUCUUCUGCCAUGGCCAUCCCCUGGUGGGAGCUCCUAGGAGCAGGCGUCGAUGAAAUGAUGAUGAUGA